UUGACCUCGGAUCAGGUAGGACUACCCGCUGAACUUAAGCAUAUCAAUAAGCGGAGGAAAAGAAACCAACAGGGAUUGCCUCAGUAACGGCGAGUGAAGCGGCAACAGCUCAAAUUUGAAAUCUGGCUUCGGCCCGAGUUGUAAUUUGGAGAGGAUGCUUUUGGUGCGGUGCCUUCCGAGUUCCUUGGAACAGGACGCCAGAGAGGGUGAGAGCCCCGUACGGUUGGACACCAAGCCUUUGAAUAGCUCCUUCGACGAGUCGAGUAGUUUGGGAAUGCUGCUCAAAAUGGGAGGUAAAUUUCUUCUAAAGCUAAAUACCGGCCAGAGACCGAUAGCGCACAAGUAGAGUGAUCGAAAGAUGAAAAGCACUUUGAAAAGAGGGUUAAACAGUACGUGAAAUUGUUGAAAGGGAAGCGCCUGUGACCAGACUUGUGCCCUGUAAACCAUCCGGCGUUCUCGCCGGUGCACUUUACAGGGUGCAGGCCAGCAUCGGUUUUCCUAGGGGGAUAAAGGCCGCGGGAAUGUAGCUCUUUCGGGAGUAUUAUAGCCCGUGGUGUCAUGCCCUUGGGGGGACCGAGGACCGCGCUUCGGCAAGGAUGCUGGCGUAAUGGUCACCAGCGACCCGUCUUGAAACACGGACCAAGGAGUCAAGCAUUAGGGCGAGUGUUUGGGUGUCAAACCCGCACGCGAAAUGAAAGUAAACGCAGGUGAGAGCUUCGGCGCAUCAUCGACCGAUCCUGAUGUAUUCGGAUGGAUUUGAGUAAGAGCCUUACCGCUUGGACCCGAAAGAUGGUGAACUAUGCCUGUAUAGGGUGAAGCCAGAGGAAACUCUGGUGGAGGCUCGCAGCGGUUCUGACGUGCAAAUCGAUCGUCAAAUAUGGGCAUGGGGGCGAAAGACUAAUCGAACCAUCUAGUAGCUGGUUACCGCCG
rnacentral:rRNA from 1 species